CUAGACCCGCCUCGUUUCAGCCGCCAGACCUGUCUCUCCCCCGAAGCGUUCCGAAACCCCUCUAUGCCUUCAGCCUUAAGAUAUCUCGGAAUUCUGGCAACUUCCCUGGGCUCCUCCCGCCCCCAUUAGGCGUCUCCAGGGAAUUGCAAAUUAAAACAACGAGAGAAUUAUCAGAAUGGUUGAAAUCCAAAGCACCACCACCAACUAAUGCUGGCGAAGACGUGGAACAACAGGAAGUCUACUUCAUUGCUGAUAGGAAUGCAAAAAGAUGAAGAAACUGAAGCUCCCAGAGGGAAGUGGCUUGCCCAAGACUCUACAGCCAAGGAGUAGGAGAGCUGAUCCCCAAAUCUUCUGAUCACAUAGGGACUGAGAAUAUUCUUCAUCACACCGUGAUUGCUUCUUUGACUGCCACUCCUACCACCUAGCAUUUUUCUUUUCAGAGUGACUGAUAUUCCAUCUCUCCUGGGAUAGAGCCUUCCUUAACUAGAGAGAUGGAGCAUGAACAGGGGAGGGGCAGAGAGAGAGGGAGACACAGGAUCUGAAGC